rnacentral:rRNA from 1 species
AGUCAAUAGAUACCCGGUAGUCCACGCCGUAAACGAUGAAUACUAGGUGUAGGAGGUAUCGACUCCUUCUGUGCCGCAGUUAAACACAAUAAGUAUUCCGCCUGGGGAGUACGGUCGCAAGAUUAAAACUCAAAGGAAUUGACGGGGGCCCGCACAAGCAGCGGAGCAUGUGGUUUAAUUCGAAGCAACGCGAAGAACCUUACCUAGACUUGACAUCUUCUGCAUUAAUCGUAAUGGAUGAAAUCCCUUCGGGGACAGAAUGACAGGUGGUGCAUGGUUGUCGUCAGCUCGUGUCGUGAGAUGUUGGGUUAAGCCCCGCAACGAGCGCAACCCCUAUUAUUAGUUGCUAACAUUAAGUUGAGCACUCUAGUGAGACUGCCCGGGUUAACCGGGAGGAAGGUGGGGAUGACGUCAAAUCAUCAUGCCCCUUAUGUCUAGGGCUACACACAUGCUACAAUGGUGGGAACAAAGAGAUGCAAUACCGCGAGGUGGAGCCAAACUCAAAACCCCAUCCCAGUUCGGAUUGUAGGCUGAAACUC